CAUGGAUUAAAGCUGGACAACUGAAACAACAGAAAGCCCAUGGAAACUAAACAACUCUCUACUCAAUGAUCACCAGACAGGAACCUAGCAUCACUGUCAUCUGAGAGGCUCUACCCAGAAGCCAAUGGAAAAAGAUGCAAAGACUCAUACCCAAACAUUAGGUGGAGCUCAGGGAGUCAUAUGGAAGAGUUGAGAGAAGGGUUGAGGAAUCCGAAGAGAAAAGGAAUACUACAGGAAGACCAACAGAGUCAACUAACAUGGACCCUUGGAAGCUCCCAGAGAACAAAUCACCAACCAAAGAAUAUACACAGGAUGGAUGUAGGCCCUCUGCACAUAUGUAAAAGGGCAAGCUCCAUGCUCAGGAAUAGUCAGCCAACACAUAUUGGACUCCAUGCUUACUACAAAAGAUGGCUGGAGCAGGGGGUAAUUAAUUGUCUUUGUCUCCCAUGUAAGAUUUACCUUAUCAGGGUGAAAUGGAUAUGGCUUAAUGUAUGUGUGAGAGUGGGGGUGAGUCUGGGAGGAUUGGAAGAGGGAAAAGAAUAUAUGAUCAAAAUAUAUCAUGUGACAUUUUCAAAGAAUAAAUAGAAACUGGUUUGAGGGGGCUAGAGAAAGAUUCAGCAGUUAAGACUCUUGCUGCUCUUGCAAAGAACCCAUGUUUGGCUCUCAGCAUUCACAUUCAGUGACUCACAACCACUGUAACUCCAACUCCAGGGGAUCUGCACACCAUCUUCUUACAGCUGAAACACACACACGAACAUGUAUAUGUGAAUGCACACCCAUACACCCACUCACCCACCCCACCCUACAUCAUCC
rnacentral:lncRNA from 1 species